rnacentral:rRNA from 1 species
GACGAACGCUGGCGGCGUGCUUAACACAUGCAAGUCGAACGGUGAAGCCCCAGCUUGCUGGAGUGGAUCAGUGGCGAACGGGUGAGUAACACGUGAGCAACCUGCCCCUGACUCUGGAAUAAGCGCUGGAAACGGCGUCUAAUACUGGAUACGAGAAGGGUCCGCAUGGGCACUUUCUGGAAAGUUUUUCGGUUGGGGAUGGGCUCGCGGCCUAUCAGCUUGUUGGUGAGGUAAUGGCUCACCAAGGCGACGACGGGUAGCCGGCCUGAGAGGGCGACCGGCCACACUGGGACUGAGACACGGCCCAGACUCCUACGGGAGGCAGCAGUGGGGAAUAUUGCACAAUGGGCGAAAGCCUGAUGCAGCGACGCCGCGUGGGGGAUGACGGCCUUCGGGUUGUAAACCUCUUUCAGCAGGGAAGAAGCGAAAGUGACGGUACCUGCAGAAGAAGCACCGGCUAACUACGUG